UGUCCGGAUGCCCGGUGACGCUGCACCGGCUCCUCUGGAAGUCGUGGGCUUCCUCGGUAAAACGUUCGGCGCAGGCGCGGCACUGACAGCUGCCGUCUACUUACUCCGCAAGGUCUGCUUCACGAUGGCCUGGAAAUCUGGGGGAGCCAGCCACGCAGAGCUCGUCAACAACCUCCGCAAAAAUGGCAUUAUUAAAUCCGACAAGGUCUAUGAAGUCAUGCUGGCCACAGACCGAUCCAAUUUCUCUAGGUGUAAUCCCUACAUGGACUCGCCGCAGUCGAUAGGUUUUCAAGCAACCAUCAGCGCCCCACAUAUGCACGCCUACGCCCUGGAGCUUCUACACGACCAGCUGUACGACGGGGCCAAAGCUCUGGACGUUGGCUCCGGCAGUGGGAUCCUGUCCGUCUGCUUUGCACGAAUGGUAGGUCCUAAAGGGAAAGUUAUAGGAAUCGAUCACAUCAAAGAGCUGGUGGAUGAUUCUAUAAACAAUGUGAAGAAAGAUGACCCCAGUUUGAUGACAUCGGGCCGAGUGACGCUCAUAGUGGGAGACGGGAGAAUGGGCUACGAGGACGAGGCGCCUUAUGAUGCCAUUCAUGUCGGCGCUGCAGCACCCAACGUCCCUCAAGCUCUCCUGGACCAGCUGAAGCCCGGCGGUCGGCUGAUUCUCCCCGUCGGCCCGGCGGGAGGAAACCAGAUGCUGGAGCAGUACGACAAGAUGGAGGAUGGCAGCACCAAAAUGAAGCCCUUGAUGGGGGUGAUCUAUGUGCCUUUAACAGACAAAGACAAGCAGUGGUCCAGGUGGAAGUGACUUCCUACUCCCUCCCCUCCUCCCCCCCUUCUCUGCUUCUCACAGUGGCAAAGGGAUGAGCUUUGAAGAGGAAGACCGUCCGUUUUCCACCUUUUAAGUUUGAACCUGGAGAAGACUUGGAUGGGGUCGAACCGCCCUCGUCAUGUUGCAAGCAUAACAAAAACAGGCUCUUUUUUUGUUUGACAUCUAACAACGGACAGCCAGUACCACACCGAUGACAGCCCAGAGGAGGCUGGGGAGAAGGACUGCUUCAAGCUCGGCACAGAAAUAAAGGGAGAGAGCGUUUUGCUUUUCUUUUACAGGUGCGCGCAUCUUUUUUUGGGGGUUUGUUUGAUUUUUAAUCGCUGGAUUUAAUUUUUGGUUUUCUCCAUCAUUUAAAAAUGCAGUCAAGACAUUUUUACAGUAUUACAUUUCAGCAGCAUCAAAGCUGAAUGUGGGAGGGACGCCGGGCGACCACGAGGAGGAAAGACGGCGACUUUUAGAUCAUUUAACUAGCUACAGCGUGUGUGCUCUCUUCCCUUGCCAGCAGUAUUAGGAUCUCACACACACACAGGCAACACAACAGCUGAUGUAACCCACUUUAUCCUGUUUGAUGUGCGGCACUCUUUAGGUCAUUCUACACUUAGAACAAGCUACGCAGUGGAUCAUAACCGAGCCUGACUCCAGAGCGAGCGGCGUGCUAACAACACUGACACACGUGCACAUGCAGGGCUGCGCUUUCCACUCGGUGAUGUGCUGCUUUUCUGCCAUUAACCAAUUUUGUGCAGGCUCUUCUGGUGACCGACACUAAAACGGCAUCGUCACUGCUUUGCCAAAACAUUCUCCAACAAUAUAAAGCAAAUGAAUGUGUGUUUUUCUUGGGAGAAAGAAAGAAAAAUCAAAAAUCCUACAUGGAAUAAAAAAAAAAAAUAAAUAAAAAGCACAUUUCAUUUUGGGUGAUACUUGGCUUUCACAGUUUAUGGAAUGGCAUAUGAAAAUAAAGAGAUGUUUUAUGUCUGA